rnacentral:rRNA from 1 species
AUAAUUGAUUUUAUUAAUAUAAUUAUUUUUUUUUAUUAUUUUAUAAAAGUUAUUUAUUUUUUUAAUGUUUUAGUAUUUAUUAAAAAUAAAUUUUUAGAUUUAUAGUUUAUUAGUAUUGUGAAAGAAUCAUUUAAAUUAAUAGAAGAAUUUUUUUAGUACCUUUUGUAUCAGGGUUAAUUAAAAUUUUUAAUUUUAUUUUAAAUUCUCAAAAUUUAUAGAGUUAAUUUUAUUAUUAAUUUAUUGUUAUAUAAAUAUUUAAAAAAUAUUAUUAGUUUAGAAAUUUAAUUCGUUAUAUUAUAUUUAGUUAUUUAAGAUUUAAAUUUAAUUUAGAAUUUUAAAAGUUUAUAUUAAUUUUAUUUAUUAAUAUUUUAAAAUUGGAUUAUUUUAGGGAUAAGCUUAAAAUUUUUAUAUAAUAAAUUUUAAUUAUGAAUAAUUAAUAGGAUUAGAAAUUUUUAAAAUAAGUUUGUAAAAAUUUAUUAUUUAUUUAAUUUAUAUUUAUUAAAAUUUUAUUUAUUUUUAUUAUUAAAUUUUAUAAAUUAAUUUUUAAUUUAUAGUAAUAAUGAGUAAAUUAGUAUAAUAAAAAUUUAUAAAUUAUGAAUUCGGCAAAUAUUAUUUUCAUCUGUUUAUCAAAAACAUUGUAUUAAGUUUUAUUUAAUAUAGGAUCUGCUCAAUGAAUUAUUUAAAUAGCUGCAGUAUUUUGACUGUGCAAAGGUAGCAUAAUAAUUAGUCUUUUAAUUGAGGACUUGAAUGAAAGAUUUGAUGAGAAAUAAACUUUAUUAUUUAUAUAAUUAAAAUUUUAUUUUUAAGUAAAAAAGCCUAAAUAUUUUAAAGGGACGAUAAGACCCUAUAAAACUUUAUAAAUAAUAAUUUUUGAUUUUUUGGAUUUUAAAAAAUUAUAUAUAAUAUUAUAUUUUUAUGAUAAUUUAUGUAAAUAUAUUAAAUAUAAUAUAAAUAUAUACAUAUAUAUAUAUAUAUAUAUAUAUUUAAAUUUUCUUAUUUAUUUUAUUGGGGUGAUAAAAAAAAAUAAUUAACUUUUUUUAAAUUGUUACAUAGUUUAAUGGAAAUUUGAAUUAAAAUUUUUAAUUAUAAGAAAAAGUUACUUUAGGGAUAACAGCGUAAUUAAUUUUUUAAGUUCAAAUUUAAAAAUUAGUUUGCGACCUCGAUGUUGAAUUAAGAAUAUUUUUAGGUGCAAAAUUUUAAAUAUUAGGUCUGUUCGACCUUAAAAUCUUACAUGAUUUGAGUUCAAACCGGUGUAAGCCAGGUUGGUUUCUAUCUUUUAUUAAUUGAAUUAUUUUAGUACGAAAAGAUUUAGUAAUUAAAUUAAAUUUUUAUUUAAUGAAUUAAAAUAAUUUA